AGGGGAUUAUUAAUAUUCGUUCAAGAGUUUUAUGGCCUGAGGGAAGAAGCUGUUACAGAACCUGGAGGUUCUGCUACGGAGGCUGCGGAACUUCUUUCUAGAGUCCAGCAGUGAAAACAGUCCUUGGUGGGGGUGGGAGGAGUCUCUGCAGAUUUUCUGAUCCAUGGUCAGGCCGCGGCGUUUUGUGAUUUCCUGCAUAGGAGAAAGAGGAGUGCUGAUUAUCUUUUCCACCGUCCUCACCACUCUCUGCACUGCAGAGACUUCCAGUCUGAGGCACUGCAGGUUCCAGUCCAAACAAAGAUGCAGUUGGAACUUGGUGCUGCUUACCAUCUCCACUGCUGUGCCGUUGAUGAAGAGUGGAGUGUGGCUGGACUGGUGCCUCCUGAAGUCAACAAUGAUCUCAUUGGUUUGGUCGACGCUACAUUAAUUUAUAUCAUCAUUAAAUUCAUCUACAAUUGA